rnacentral:rRNA from 1 species
UACGUAGGGUGCAAGCGUUGUCCGGAAUUAUUGGGCGUAAAGAGCUCGUAGGCGGUCUGUCGCGUCGGAUGUGAAAAUCCAGGGCUCAACCCUGGACCUGCAUUCGAUACGGGCAGACUAGAGUUCGGUAGGGGAGACUGGAAUUCCUGGUGUAGCGGUGAAAUGCGCAGAUAUCAGGAGGAACACCGGUGGCGAAGGCGGGUCUCUGGGCCGAAACUGACGCUGAGGAGCGAAAGCGUGGGAGCAAACAGG